rnacentral:rRNA from 1 species
UCUUUUUCCACCGGAGCUUGCUCCACCGGAAAAAGAAGAGUGGCGAACGGGUGAGUAACACGUGGGUAACCUGCCCAUCAGAAGGGGAUAACACUUGGAAACAGGUGCUAAUACCGUAUAACAAUCGAAACCGCAUGGUUUUGAUUUGAAAGGCGCUUUCGGGUGUCGCUGAUGGAUGGACCCGCGGUGCAUUAGCUAGUUGGUGAGGUAACGGCUCACCAAGGCCACGAUGCAUAGCCGACCUGAGAGGGUGAUCGGCCACAUUGGGACUGAGACACGGCCCAAACUCCUACGGGAGGCAGCAGUAGGGAAUCUUCGGCAAUGGACGAAAGUCUGACCGAGCAACGCCGCGUGAGUGAAGAAGGUUUUCGGAUCGUAAAACUCUGUUGUUAGAGAAGAACAAGGAUGAGAGUAACUGUUCAUCCCUUGACGGUAUCUAACCAGAAAGCCACGGCUAACUACGUGCCAGCAGCCGCGGUAAUACGUAGGUGGCAAGCGUUGUCCGGAUUUAUUGGGCGUAAAGCGAGCGCAGGCGGUUUCUUAAGUCUGAUGUGAAAGCCCCCGGCUCAACCGGGGAGGGUCAUUGGAAACUGGGAGACUUGAGUGCAGAAGAGGAGAGUGGAAUUCCAUGUGUAGCGGUGAAAUGCGUAGAUAUAUGGAGGAACACCAGUGGCGAAGGCGGCUCUCUGGUCUGUAACUGACGCUAAGGCUCGAAAGCGUGGGGAGCAAACAGGAUUAGAUACCCUGGUAGUCCACGCCGUAAACGAUGAGUGCUAAGUGUUGGAGGGUUUCCGCCCUUCAGUGCUGCAGCUAACGCAUUAAGCACUCCGCCUGGGG